GACGAACGCUGGCGGCGUGCUUAACACAUGCAAGUCGAACGAUGAAGCUGGAGCUUGCUCCGGUGGAUUAGUGGCGAACGGGUGAGUAACACGUGAGCAAUCUGCCCUUGACUCUGGGAUAACUGCGGGAAACUGUAGCUAAUACCGGAUACUUUCACUGGAAGGCAUCUUCUGGUGAAGAAAGAAUUUCGGUCAAGGAUGAGCUCGCGGCCUAUCAGCUUGUUGGUGAGGUAACGGCGCACCAAGGCGACGACGGGUAGCCGGCCUGAGAGGGUGACCGGCCACACUGGGACUGAGACACGGCCCAGACUCCUACGGGAGGCAGCAGUGGGGAAUAUUGCGCAAUGGGCGGAAGCCUGAUGCAGCAACGCCGCGUGAGGGAUGACGGCCUUCGGGUUGUAAACCUCUUUUAGCAGGGAAGAAGCGGAAGUGACGGUACCUGCAGAAAAAGCACCGGCUAACUACGUGCCAGCAGCCGCGGUAA
rnacentral:rRNA from 1 species